UUAUGGCCAUAUCACGUUGAAUCACCGGUUCUCGUCUGAUUUCUGAAGUUAAGCCACGUUGAACCAAGUCAAUGCCUGGAUGGGUGACUGUUGGAGAAUAGCAGGUGCUGUAA